rnacentral:tRNA from 1 species
GCCACAGUAGCUUAAUGGUAGAGCACCACUUUCGUAAAGUGGAAGUUGGGGGUUCAAGUCCCUUCUGUGGCU